AAAUUGUUUUGUGUCAGUCCCAGAAAUUGAAUGCACACCUGCGAAUUUCAUAAUUCAUAAAAAUAUUAUGAAUCCAUUAGCAAAUAAAGUUGUAUCCUUGAAAGAUAUGCUGGUAUUAUUGGCACAAUGGGCAAGCAUUGAAGUGCAACUUGGUGAACUACAAAAUACAUCAAAUUCAGUGCUAAAAAUUUGAGUAUCAAAGGUAUGCUAAUUAUUGUAUUGCCUAAAAAAGUGUCAUUGCCAUUAAAAGCAGUGAAGAAUUCAAGUACUCUGGAAGAAAAAAGACAAGAAAACACUUCAGUAAAUGGCUGUGUAUUUUUGCAAGUUAAUUAUUUGGCACAAAUUGGAGUUAAAGACGAAGGAGAUGGUAUAUGUUAUUUACUAAGAAUAGUUUAUUAAAAUGGCCUAGCUGUAAAAUUAAAUUAUGCAGGGAGAGGAUAAAAAAUUGGAAUAGGAAAAAUGUUGAUUGCAUAUGCUGCUAUUGAAACUGUGAAGUCAAAUAAGUAUGGCUUAUGCAG
rnacentral:lncRNA from 1 species